rnacentral:rRNA from 1 species
CGUAGGGGGCAAGCGUUGUCCGGAUUUAUUGGGCGUAAAGAGCGUGUAGGCGGCUUUACAGGUCCGUUGUGAAAACUCGAGGCUCAACCUCGAGACGCCGGUGGAAACCGUAAGGCUAGAGUCCGGAAGAGGAGAGUGGAAUUCCUGGUGUAGCGGUGAAAUGCGCAGAUAUCAGGAAGAACACCCGUGGCGAAGGCGGCUCUCUGGGACGGUACUGACGCUGAGACGCGAAAGCGUGGGGAGCGAACAGG